rnacentral:lncRNA from 1 species
ACUGGGUCUAAUAAAACAUCUUUGAAAACCAUACCCUCAAAAGAAAAAAGUCUCAUCUCCAACCCUUUCCAUCCUCCAGACUUCCACCAUGGUGAUUUCUUCCCCAUCGUCAUCCUCUUCCACUCAACAAUCAAAGCCCACAUCGGUGCUUCCCUACAAGACACCUAGCUUAAAGGGGUUGUACAGUAUCGGAAAGAAACUGGGGCAAGGUCAGUUCGGAACUACUUACCUGUGUGUGGAGAAAUCGACCAGCAAGCGUUAUGCUUGCAAGACCAUCCCCAAGCGGAAACUCAUAUGCCGUGAGGACUAUGAAGACGUGUACAGAGAGAUCCAGAUCAUGCACCACCUGUCGGAGCACCCCAACGUUGUCAGGAUCA